rnacentral:misc_RNA from 1 species
CCGAGUUAUACAACUCAUCAACCCUGUGAACAUACCUAUAACGUUGCCUCGGCGGGAACAGACGGCCCCGUAACACGGGCCGCCCCCGCCAGAGGACCCCCUAACUCUGUUUCUAUAAUGUUUCUUCUGAGUUAAACAAGCAAAUAAAUUA